ACUAAAAAAAAAAAAGCAAACUCAACGGAAAUCCUACGAAAAACACUGUGACGUGAAUCCUUCAGCGCACCUCCGUCAGCUUCGAACCGCCGCGUUACCAUCAUCAUCGGCAACGAGAAAAGCUGCCCGCCACCGACAUCAGUUACGGAAUCUGCUACCGGAAAAUUGGUACAUAUUCCACCAUAGUUUUUUUAGCAUGGAUGAGAUUGGCUGCAGGUGAGGAUGGCGCCAAUUUGAACACGAUGAUGAUUCUGACGAUCAUUCAUUACCAUUUGCGUGUUUCAUUUGUAGAAAUCCAUUUGUGGAUCCUGUCUCAACCUAGUGCAAACACUACUUCUUGUAGGGACUAAAGAUGAAGGAAAGAACUUAAAAGCUUGGACACUAAUGCCAAACAUUCUUGUAUGGGUCAUGCUCAAGAAAUGCAUAUAUUCUCUUCCCUUGAUACUCUGCUAACUCUGCUAACUCAUGUAUAAACUCAAAAUUUUAACCUUUUCCCACAUUUGAACUUAAAAGCUUGCUGCUACACCAUCCACCAUUUACUGAUUGCUUCAACUUAUUCUCUCAGUUGUCAUACAAUUUUUGUUGAAUGGCAUGUGAAGAUGGGAUGGGGGGUUUCUAUAUAUGGCUGUUGCAAGUUAUAUGCCUCCUAGGUCUUCUUGUUCUUGGCCUAUGGCUAUCCUUACGAUCAAAUAACCCCUCCUUCUCCAUCAUGUUAGUCUCCGUAGAUCAUCUAUCGGAUCAAAAUGACACAAUCUUUUAUACCCUUGAAAUCGAUAAUCCAAACAAACACUCCAGCAUUUACUAUGACGACAUAAACAUAAUAUGAGGAUAAAACUGAGCGGGGGGAAAGAGUAGGGUGGAUAUACGGUUCAGUCACAGAAGAUGUUGUGACUGGUUACAGAAUGCACAAUAGAGGGUGGAGAUCAGUUUACUGUUUGACAAAAAGAGAUGUAUUUAGAGGAACAGCUCCAAUCAAUUUAACAGACAGGCUACACUAAGUGCUUCGUUGGGCAACAGGGUCCGUCGAAAUCUUCUUCUCAAGAAGCAACGCGUUAUUGGCGAUUCCUAGAAUGAAAUUCUUGCAAAGGGUAGCAUAUUUCGAUGUUGGAAUGUACCCUUUCACUUCAAUGUUUCUGAUUGUGUAUUGCUUUCUACCUGCAUUGUCCUUAUUAUCAGGACAGUUUAUAGUCCAAUCUCUCAGUGUAACUUUUCUAGUGUUCUUGCUUGGGUUUAUAUUCAGCCUCCUGCUGGUGGAAGACCACAAGAUUUCAUGAAUUUUCAGCUCCUUUGAUUAGUUUGAAAAAGGUGAUGAAAUUUCUCUACUUCAUCUUGCAUCUGUAUUUGUCUAUGUUGUAAUAUUUUGGGUAUAUUUGACUUUCUGUUAUUGUGUGACACUAUCAAUACAUAUAGUUGGUGCUGUAGUUGUUAAUCUCAUAUGACUAAGAUGAUAAUAUUUUCAGUUCCCUUGAUUAGUUGUGUGACACUAUCCAUUCUACUAUGUUGUUUAUCACUAUUAUUACUGGAUUUCAUUCUUGAUA